AGAGUUUGAUUAUGGCUCAGGAUGAACGCUAGCGAUAGGCCUAACACAUGCAAGUCGAGGGGCAGCACAUGAAGUAGCAAUACGGAUGGUGGCGACCGGCGCACGGGUGAGUAACGCGUAUGCAACCUGCCUACAACAGGGGAAUAACCCGUUGAAAGACGGACUAAUACCCCAUAACACAGGGAUCCCGCAUGGGAAUAUUUGUUAAAGAUUUAUCGGUUGUAGAUGGGCAUGCGUUCCAUUAGCUGGUUGGUGAGGUAACGGCUCACCAAGGCAACGAUGGAUAGGGGAACUGAGAGGUUUAUCCCCCACACUGGUACUGAGACACGGAACAGACUCCUACGGGAGGCAGCAGUGAGGAAUAUUGGUCAAUGGACGCAAGUCUGAACCAGCCACGUCGCGUGAAGGAAGACGGCCCUACGGGUUGUAAACUUCUUUUGUAAGGGAAUAAAGUGCAGUACGUGUACUGUUUUGCAUGUACCUUACGAAUAAGGAUCGGCUAACUCCGUGCCAGCAGCCGCGGUAAUACGGAGGAUCCGAGCGUUAUCCGGAUUUAUUGGGUUUAAAGGGUGCGCAGGCGGGAGAUUAAGUCGGCGGUGAAAUUUUGCAGCUCAACUGUAAAAGUGCCUUCGAAACUGGUUUUCUUGAGUGUGGAUGAAGUAGGCGGAAUUUGUGGUGUAGCGGUGAAAUGCAUAGAUAUCACGAGGAACUCCGAUUGCGCAGGCAGCUUACUAAACCAUAACUGACGCUCAGGCACGAAGGCGUGGGGAUCAAACAGGAUUAGAUACCCUGGUAGUC
rnacentral:rRNA from 1 species